CCUUGUUUUUCUGCCGCUAUUCUGCCGUUUCAUGCGAAGCACAUGCGGACGGAAGUAGAUGCAUCAAUGAAAUUUUACUUCCGUUUGCACACUAAUAAGCGAAUCGCGCCAGCCCCGCUUCUCUCGCCUACGAUGUUUGAUUGAGACAACUCUUGAAAUAAAAACAUGUAUGUCGUGACAAGGAAGCCAUUUCGCAGUCGAGACGACAGCCGUUAGACCGCUAACUAAUGAGACAAGCGCCAGACAGCGCCAGGCAGACAAGCGGCACAUACGCAGUAAAACAACAACGCAACGCGGUUCGGAACUUUAUUUAAACCGUAGGAAGGCUCC